GUUUUCCAGUACAGCCCACAAUUCCACAAUGUGAUGCAAGUAACACAUGCUGAGUACCAAUCUUGCAAUGCAUCUGCUCCUAUUGCAACACACACAACUGGGAAAGACUCUAUUACCAUAACUGCUCAUGGCCAUCAUUUCUUCCUUUGUGGUGUGCCUGGUCAUUGCCAAGCAGGACAGAAAGUCGACAUCAAUGUUCUUCGUGUCUCAUCAUCUGUGUCUCCAUCUCAAUCUCCUUCGUCGUUGAGU
rnacentral:misc_RNA from 1 species